rnacentral:tRNA from 1 species
UGGGUAGUCGCCAAGCGGUAAGGCUCAGGUCUCUGACACCUGCAUCCGAAGGUUCAAAUCCUUCCUACCCAG